rnacentral:lncRNA from 1 species
GAGCUUGAACAGCUUUAAUAACUUGCCAAUAUUUUCUUGUCCAUUAAUUAUCAACCAGAUCUUGAUCUAGCUUGAGAAGUCGACAAAGUCUAGCUAUAGAAACUGAUUCUUACAUGAUAUUCAAUCGGGCGUGUAGGAUUGCAGAGAUUAUUGACAAUACAGCUCUUUCCAAAAACUAACAAAUAAAUUUAUCAGCAACCUUAACUCGUAAGUCAUAAAUUACAUUCCAAUUGACUCGGAAUGAAAAAAAAAAAAAAAUAACAAUGGGAUGUUUUUACAGAGAUUAUAUCAAUUUAUUAUUCCUUGGCUCUUCAGAUCAUGUAACCAGCGAUUACGAAAUCCAAUAAAACAAAAAGGGAAAGAAAAAUUAAACAAGUUUAAAAGGAAGCAACAUCAUAAGUUCAUAAUUUUUGAAAUUUAUGCUUGACAGAAAUUAAUGAAAAAAAUACAUACAUAAAAGAGGAUUAUACAUUGCAAAAGGCACUGUACUUUGAAUCUACCCAAAAGUAACAUGAUAAAAAAUAAAAGAUACUAGAAAGGACAACAGCCUAAAGAGAGAGAGAGAGAGAGAAAAAAAAAAAAAAACGUACAGCGAGAAUGACGAGAGUGAAGACACCAACUGUUGCAAGAAAAACUUUUUGAUCAUGCUGGCAACAAUUCUUCAACUCCCAGUUCGGAUUCAUGCCUCUCUCUUUCUCUUUUUCUCUCUCUAGUAAAAAAUAAACGAAAAAAAUAAAAAAUAAAAAUUCCAAUUGGAUGGGGGAAGGAGAAGAGAAAAAGACGAGAUUUUUCCACCUAGGUGGAAAAAAUCAAGAACCCAAUUGGAGGAGAGAGAGAAGAAGGAGAGUUUUAUUUUUUGAGAAAUGUUUGUUUGAAAUUGUCUGAGGAAGGACAGAAAUAGAGUUAGUUAAUUACAAUUAACAAAAAGGAUGGUGCGAAGUUUCUUCGCUGACCUACUAAGUAACAACUUUUUGUCGUUUCCGACAUUGACUAGGUCUCUUGGGUUGAGCUUAUGUGUCAGUAAUGGGCCACUUUAAACGUGCAUUCAUGAUUGGGCCUCCAUUAUAUAUCCAACCCUGUAACGCAAAGCCCAAAAGCCCUAUUAGUGU